GCCGCCACGUGUCAGUGGGGCCUGCGAACAAGGCAGAGGACCGUCCUUCUUGGACGUACGUUCCGCCUAUAAUUUUUUUUUUUUUUUGGGUUGGGGGACAUGGCAAGGACUGCCUAUUCCCCUGCCCUUAGAACACCUCUAGUGGAUGUGCUUAAUGGGUUCCUUAAUGGUUGCUUAAUCUUAAAUAAAAUAAAUUUUAAUCCAAAAUAAUGGAAAAUAGUUAAGCAUAGUUACUUAAAUUGUGUUCUUAGACC
rnacentral:lncRNA from 1 species